rnacentral:rRNA from 1 species
CUAAUACAUGCAAGUCGAGCGCGGGAAGCAAGCAGAUCCCUUCGGGGUGACGCUUGUGGAACGAGCGGCGGACGGGUGAGUAACACGUGGGCAACCUGCCUGUAAGACUGGGAUAACUCCGGGAAACCGGGGCUAAUACCGGAUAGAGUUUUCUCUCGCAUGAGAGGAAACGGAAAGGCGGCUUCGGCUGUCACUUACAGAUGGGCCCGCGGCGCAUUAGCUAGUUGGUGGGGUAACGGCUCACCAAGGCGACGAUGCGUAGCCGACCUGAGAGGGUGAUCGGCCACACUGGGACUGAGACACGGCCCAGACUCCUACGGGAGGCAGCAGUAGGGAAUCUUCCGCAAUGGACGAGAGUCUGACGGAGCAACGCCGCGUGAACGAAGAAGGUUUUCGGAUCGUAAAGUUCUGUUGUUAGGGAAGAACAAGUACCGUUUGAAUAAGGCGGUACCUUGACGGUACCUAUCGAGAAAGCCCCGGCUAACUACGUGCCAGCAGCCGCGGUAAUACGUAGGGGGCAAGCGUUGUCCGGAUUUAUUGGGCGUAAAGCGCGCGUAGGCGGUUUCUUAAGUCUGAUGUGAAAUCUUGCGGCUCAACCGCAAGCGGUCAUUGGAAACUGGGGAACUUGAGUGCAGAAGAGGAGAGUGGAAUUCCACGUGUAGCGGUGAAAUGCGUAGAGAUGUGGAGGAACACCAGUGGCGAAGGCGA